rnacentral:misc_RNA from 1 species
UACGGAGGGUGCGAGCGUUAAUCGGAAUUACUGGGCGUAAAGCGUGCGUAGGCGGCGUGAUAAGCCGGUUGUGAAAGCCCCGGGCUCAACCUGGGAACGGCAUCCGGAACUGUCAGGCUAGAGUAUGGGAGAGAAGAGUGGAAUUCCACGUGUAGCGGUGAAAUGCGUAGAGAUCGGGAGGAAUACCAGUGGCGAAGGCGGCCUUCUGGACUGACACUGACGCUGAGGUGCGAAAGCGUGGGUAGUAAACAGG